rnacentral:misc_RNA from 1 species
UUGCAGGAGUUAGCCCAUAGCGCGGGCGUUUGUUCCGCGGUGGGUGCUCAUGGGUGGAAUAUCAACGGAUAGGUCCCUGGUGGGUCCUGGUGGCAUUCGAGUACGAGCCGGCGUGUCUGUCGUGUCUCCUCCUUCGUGGAGGGGGUGUGUGGGUGCGGUGGUUGUGGAAAGGGUGGUGUCGGGGGUUGUCGGGCGGUGUUUGGCACACUGUUGGGUCCUGAGAUAACAGGGCUCUUGUUCUGCGUGUCCUUGUAGGGGUGCUUGUUCCGGGUGUCGGUGAUUCGUCGCUGAUGUCCGGGGU